UACAGAGGGGGCAAGCGUUGUUCGGAAUUACUGGGCGUAAAGGGCGCGUAGGCGGCCUUCUAAGUCGAACGUGAAAUCCCCGGGCUCAACCCGGGAACUGCGUCCGAUACUGGAAGGCUUGAAUCCGGGAGAGGGAUGCGGAAUUCCAGGUGUAGCGGUGAAAUGCGUAGAUAUCGGGAGGAACACCAGUGGCGAAGGCGACUACCUGGCCUGUUCUUGACGCUGAGGCGCGAAAGCUAGGGGAGCAAACGGGG
rnacentral:rRNA from 1 species